rnacentral:rRNA from 1 species
GGCUUGGCUGGGCGGUCCGCUUAACGGCGUGUACUGUCUGGCUGGGUCUUACCUCUUGGUGAACUAGUGUGGCCUUUAUUGGUUGCAUUAGGGAACCAGGACUUUUACCUUGAGAAAAUUAGAGUGUUCAAAGCAGGCCUAUGUCUGAAUACAUUAGCAUGGAAUAAUAAAAUAGGACGUGCGGUUCUAUUUUGUUGGUUUCUAGAGUCGCCGUA